UUAACUCAAAUUUGUAGGGAGUCGGAACGUUUGCCUUUGUUUGCUUUAGGCGCGCUGUUUCAUCUGCAUAAAAAUUUGUGUUA
rnacentral:pre_miRNA from 1 species